rnacentral:tRNA from 1 species
GAGGGUAUAGUUAAUUUAUAACAUUUGAUUUGCAUUCAAAAAUUGAAGUCGUUCUACUCUUU